UUUCCGUAGGUGAACCUGCGGAAGGAUCAUUAAAGAGUAAGGGUCUUCGGGCCCGAUCUCCAACCCUUUGUUUAACUACCAUGUUGCUUUGGCGGGCCCGUCUCACGACCGCCGGAAGUUUGGCUUCGACCAAACUUCUGGCCCGUGCCCGUCAGUGGCCCCUUCAAAUUCUUGAUCAAGUAUGAUGUCUUAGUUAAAAACUUAAUAGUUAAAACUUUCGACAACGGAUCUCUUGGUUCUG
rnacentral:misc_RNA from 1 species